rnacentral:rRNA from 1 species
CAGUAGCCGCGGGAAUACGUAGGUCCCGAGCGUUGUCCGGAUUUAUUGGGCGUAAAGCGAGCGCAGGCGGUUAGAUAAGUCUGAAGUUAAAGGCUGUGGCUUAACCAUAGUACGCUUUGGAAACUGUUUAACUUGAGUGCAAGAGGGGAGAGUGGAAUUCCAUGUGUAGCGGUGAAAUGCGUAGAUAUAUGGAGGAACACCGGUGGCGAAAGCGGCUCUCUGGCUUGUAACUGACGCUGAGGCUCGAAAGCGUGGGGCGCAAACAGGAUUAGAUACCCCCGUAGUCCCUGUCUCUUAUACA